UAGCCGAGUGGUUAAGGCUAUGGAUCGCCAAUCCGGAGACAGCGGGUUCGAUUCCCGU
rnacentral:tRNA from 1 species